rnacentral:rRNA from 1 species
GCCCUCGGGCUUAGUGGCGGACGGGUGAGUAACGCGUGAGAAUCUACCUUCUAGAUGGGGACAACCGUUGGAAACGACAGCUAAUCCCCAAUAAGCCGAGAGGUGAAACGGGUAUCCGCUAGAAGAGGAGCUCGCGUCCGAUUAGUUAGUUGGUGGGGUAAAAGCCUACCAAGGCAGCGAUCGGUAGCUGGUCUGAGAGGAUGAGCAGCCACACUGGGACUGAGACACGGCCCAGACUCCUACGGGAGGCAGCAGUGGGGAAUUUUCCGCAAUGGGCGAAAGCCUGACGGAGCAACGCCGCGUGUGGGAAGAAGGCUCUUGGGCUGUCAACCACUUUUCUCAGGGAAGAAGACCUGACGGUACCUGAGGAAUCAGCCUCGGCUAACUCCGUGCCAGCAGCCGCGGUAAUACGGAGGAGGCAAGCGUUAUCCGGAAUUAUUGGGCGUAAAGCGUCCGCAGGGGGCGCAUCAAGUCUGCUGUUAAAGGUCGGAGCUAAACUCCGGUAGAGCAGUGGAAACUGGUGCGCUAGAGGGCGACAGGGGUAGAGGGAAUUCCCAGUGUAGCGGUGAAAUGCGUAGAGAUUGGGAAGAACACCGGUGGCGAAAGCGCUCUACUGGGUCGCACCUGACCCUCAGGGACGAAAGCUAAGGUAGCGAAAGGGAUUAGAUACCCCUGUAGUCUUAGCCGUAAACGAUGGAUACUAGGCGUGGUUUGUAUCGACCCAAGCCGUGCCGAAGCUAACGCGUUAAGUAUCCCGCCUGGGGAGUACGCACGCAAAGUGUGAAACUCAAAGGAAUUGACGGGGGCCCGCACAAGCGGUGGAGGAUGUGGUUUAAUUCGAUGCAACGCGAAGAACCUUACCAGGGCUUGACAUCCCGCGAAGUUUGGGGAAACUCAGACGUGCCUACGGGAACGCGG